CCGCCUCUCCGCCGCUGUCCGCUUCUCCGCCACGCCGGCACCGGCGCUGUGUGCCUUUGCAAGGGCGGAGCUGCGUUCUCCUCGGCACAGACCCGGAGAGCAUUGCGAGGGCGGAGCUGCGUUCUGCUCUGCAUAGACCUUGGGGCACUGCCUCGCUUUGGGACAACUCGGGGCCGCAUCGACGGUGAAUAAAAUCCUUCCUGUUUGCAGCCAUGUUUGUGGUUGGUGGCAGCGAUGGACACUGCAGCCAGCCAGAGUGUAGAAAGGCAUUGGGUGAAAGAAGAUUGCCACGGAGACAGACAGCAGCAUGGUCAGUGUGGUAGGAGCCGGCCAUCAGCGAGAGCUGCUCCAUGCCUGGCUGCUGGGAGCUAGAGCCUGCGGCCCACUGGCUUGCCUCACUGUAGUUGGUGGUGGCAGUGACAGAGACUGCAGCAUGACCAGAGUGG
rnacentral:lncRNA from 1 species